ACUGUUCCAGCAACUCAGUGAGUAAGAUUUACACGGCGGGGGGAGGACCAGAAGAAUCCUUGGUAUCAGAGAGAACGGCCCGAGAGGUCUUAAACUUCCAGUGUGGAUGGCUAGUCCUCACUUCUUUAUCCAGGCAACACACAGCACGGAUGGACAGAAAACCAAACACCUUUGCCAAGAACAAUUACUGAGGGUGUGAAACGAUGAAGACAUAGAGAAUACUGCUGCAUAGAAAUGUUCACAGUUCUUCAAUUUCCAAAAGGAAUUCAGAGGGAGAACUUGGAUUAAUGUAAAUAAUGUGAUUUUUUUGAAAUACAAAUGAAUAUUGAUUGAGAGGGUUGAAAUGGGACAAGAGAGUGAAGACCAGCCAAACCCAAACACCUACAGAGAGCACACAGAUAUGAAUGUUAGGGGCCCUUUCUGAGGUCUCUCUCUUUGGAGUGUAGAUACAGCUGAUACAUAACCAUCAGGAGCUCAGGUGGGAUCCACAGUCAUAGGACACCCAAGAGGAAAGAGCAAAAUCAAACAUAAAGGCUCCCAUCUUAUGAACAAGAGGCUUUUGCAACCUUCACUAAUUUGUAGGGAGAAAUACAAAUGCAAUCUAAACAUGAUUAAAUAUCCAAGGUGAUCACCAAAUUGAAAAUGAAUUAUCAAAAGUUCAGAUACCUUUGUCUUGCUACCCAGUCCACCCUUGUUUAUUUUUAAACCUUGCAAAGCUGAGUUCUUUGCCUGUGCUCCAAGGUCUCAAGCCUUUCUCAGGUCCGCGGAGAGGCUGUGCAGCAAGGAUAAACAAAACAGUCCACAGCACAGAAGAUAUCCUGGGAGCACCACGAGGCUUGAGAGUGAAAGGUAUCGGGAAAGGAGUUUUCUCUUUCGGUUAACAGCUGCUUAAGCUGCUAUCUGGGGAAUGCUUUUACAGAAAAACCCAGGUCAACCUAUACCAGGUCAACUCCCUGCCUUGGAGAAUGAACAUACGGGAUCCCAUUCAGCACAAAAUGCAACACUCUUCACACAGAAAUCAAUCAAUAUAUGCUGUUGGCUGGUGCCCGAGUUUACUUAAUGUCUCCCCUUUUAUGUGGCUCAAACUGCUUUGACAGGACAGAUUCACUGAGAUUUUGAGCAACCCACUGUUGAAGAGAAAGCAGCUUCUCCUUCCUCAUGACUACGCAAAUGUGACAAAGGGUGGAGAGAGUAGAUAUAUCUAUUUGGCUCUUGUCCCUUGUCUAUACUGGCGAAGCCAUAAUACCUGCUUAGAAUGUACUUUCCUUUGUAGUAAAUGAAGCAUUUGAAACUA
rnacentral:lncRNA from 1 species